AGGGUAUCUUGCCGAAUUCAUGUUCAAGCGGUUAGUGCCUAGCGCUGAUCGUUUGUAUGCAUUCAUGCAGGCUGCCGCAACAUUGUACCCACCUUAUGUCGAAGAAGAAGACUCCGAAGAAGCUCCCCAGCGGUGCACCUUAAGUGUUUUUUACAGGUCACAUUCUGUUUCCGGAUCCGAUAUUAUCCCUCAUUAUGUUACUGGAAUUUAGGUUCAUCUUCCCUUUCUUUCAUUUCACCCAUGUUUAUUUUAUCCACCUUCCAUUUUAUUCCUGUUUACCGAUUUUCAGUUCUUUUCCCAUCUUUUCGUGGACAAGGUGGGUUACACCUCUUCGUGGUCUUGUCUGGGCGGUAUGCAAAUGCUGACGAAGGAACCCAACUACUAAAGGAUCGAUUUGCCUAUAUUUCAAUACCUUGUAAUUAUUCUUUUAAUAAAAUACUGGUACAACUUUG